UACGGGAGGCAGCAGUGGGGAAUAUUGCACAAUGGGCGAAAGCCUGAUGCAGCUAUGCCGCGUGUAUGAAGAAGGCCUUAGGGUUGUAAAGUACUUUCAUCGGGGAGGAAAAAACAAAACUAAUAAUUUUAUUUCUUGACGUUACCCGAAAAAGAAGCACCGGCUAACUCCGUGCCAGCAGCCGCGGUAAUACGGAGGGUGCUAGCGUUAAUCAGAAUUACUGGGCGUAAAGAGCACGUAGGUGGUUUUUUUAAGUCAGAUGUGAAAUCCCUGGGCUUAACCUAGGAACUGCAUUUUGAAACUGAAAUACUAGAGUAUCGUAGAGGGAGGUAGAAUUCUAGGUGUAGCGGUGAAAUGCGUAGAUAUCUGGAGGAAUACCUGUGGCGAAAGCGGCCUCCUAAACGAAUACUGACACUGAGGGUGCGAAAGCGUGGGGAGCAAACAGGGAUUAAUACC
rnacentral:rRNA from 1 species